GGUUGGACCCUGCCCUCACACACUUGCAAUUGAACAGGGAAAGUGUGACCCACGUGACAGGGCCAUCUGGGCCAGAAAGCCAUCUGGCCAUCCCCAUCCCCAGAACCUUGGGAUGGGAAGUCCAGGUGAGGGUGGGUGCCUGGCUUUCCUGGGUCAGCUGCAUGCUGCUCAGAUGCCAGGAACAUGGAGGACAGCAGGGAGGGGCCUGUGAGGUCAUCACCACCCGUUAGGGACAGGGGGACAGGGGUGCAGCCUAGAGGGAGGACUGAUGGGGUCAUGCUCACCAGACGGACCUCACAGCCAGGUGUCCCCACCUGAGCUAGCCCUCACACUGAGAUCGCGGGUGGUGUAUUCCCACGCACUGUGUCUGUGUCUGGUGUCUCCAUACCCAGAGGGCCUUCUCCGUAUGCUCAUGGCAGAGCAGGGGGGAGGUUUGUGAGGUGCCGACUCUCCUGCUGUCUGGGUCACUGAACAAUUAGAAUUUUGUUGUCUGCACAGCUGAUACAGUCAGCUGCCUGCUCAAAUGAAUAGGACCUGGACAUCAACCGCUGCACGCGCAUUGACAGCCACCCUUGAUAUGUCACCUGUCGGACACAAGGUCUGUCUCUAGGGGACUCUGCUCUUAACUAGAGAUGAUGCCGUGUGUGCGUGAGCUGCAGAUCACAUUCAAGUCCUGCAUUCUCCAGGACUGGAUGGAUUUCCAGCCCCGCUCCUGCAUCCCCAGUGUUUGGAACCAUCUUUGAACCAGUAGGUCUGUCUUGAGAUCCUUUCCAGAAUCCCGUUGUACAUGUACACAAGUGUUGGCUGCCGUGGUAUUUGUGACCAAGAAAAGUCAGAAACAGCUUCAAUCCCACGUCUUAGGGGGAUGGUUAAAGAGCAGUGCAGCACAUGCAGAGAAUUCAUUCUUCAGCCACGUAGACAGGAGGAUGACAAUUAAAAUGGCAACAUUACAGGGAAAAGACACAGCAUGGAAAUUGUACACAUGGCUAGAUGAUAGAAAAAGAAAAGACAAAGAUGCCACCAAAGGGCAAAUAAAAGUGCCUGCAGAUCGGCAGCCAUGUCCUGCUUAGCUGCCCUCGCCAGUCAUCUGGGCUGGAUGUCAGUGAAUACUGUGGGGAAAAAGGGCAGCCAUCCCAUUUCUAUGAUUAGGCUCCGGAAACCCCUGGCUCUGAGCUGCCCUUCACCCCACUACAUGUGGCGGCAUCUUCAGCAUCUUCACCGCUGCAUGGAACGGUGUCUUUGUUACCGUGUGUCACAGCGUCUCCACUGUGACACGCACUGACUCCUGUGUGCUUGUUGUACUGAGCGGUCACAGGGGAAGGGAGAUCUGGAGAAGUACCAGGGUGCUAGGUACAGAAUGUUGCAGGUGGCAACAGCAGUGAAAGCUGGGGUCAAGCAGCAAGCGCUUCCUUGGGGCGCCUCUGCUGUCUGUGACGUUGUCCUCUCCUACUGGGGAGGAGCCCGUGUCAAAGAGUGGGCUACAGAGAGCUUUGCAGACAGCAGAGCUGUGCACCCAGAAUAGGUACCUAGAGCUGCUGUCUGGGACCCACCAGCCUUCCCCACAUAGAACUCCCUGGCUCUGACAGCUGGCGGAGGCUGGCCCUGAAGGAGCACUCCGAUUCCUUGCUGAUCGAGUCUGAUUCCUAAUGAUUUUAGCAGGUGGCCCUAUGGUCCAGGGCUUCCCCUGAGGAAGGCCUUUCCCUGGGAGGUGAGCCCAGUUUUGGGAUAAGCCAGCAGUGCAGCUGAUCGGGCUGCUUGGUGCUCACAGUGUAGUCAGCAGGAGGUGACCCGUCCUUAGUAUGUUGUGCUGCCUUCCGAAGGCAGCCUUGGAAAUGGGAGGGCAGCAGAAGAGCUUUGUUCUAUGUUCAUUCUUUUUUAUAUUUGGAAGAUAAUAGAGGACAUUCAGAAUUGCCACCAUCACAGCAUUUUACAAACUAGCAAUAUAAAGAAGGAAGAGUAACCACUGCUAGCUCGGAACUGGACUCACCCCUUCUUGAAAUAGUCCCCGUUCUCAGUUUAUGGGAACCCAGUGUUGAGGUGGUAAACGCCUCACAGGAUGAAAUCCCACUGUGGCUGAUUUGAGACCUCUAAAGGUUAAAACCUUAUUGGCAAUCUUCUUGAAUAUGUAACAGUCAGCUUUCUCAAGCCUGUACACGCUCACACAGUUUUUGGUUUCUUCUGCUUCUGCUUCCUCUACUACUACUACUUUUUUUUCUUCUCUUUCUCUUCCUUCCUUUUCCUCCUUCCUGUUCUUCCUCCUGUUCUCUUUCCUUCACCUCUUCUCCCUCUGGAGUUGGAAACCCAUUAUCAUAUUAGACAGCACACCAUUUCCAUUUCCUGUGUCACAUGAAGUCCUCUUGGCUCCUUUUUCUCAUGCAGUAGGGUUUCCAUGAAGAUGAACUGUGUUGUCUCUAAGCAUUCUGGAAGGGCAGGGUGGUCUGGUGGGGCAGGGAAGGGUGACAGCGACCCUUGUCAUUCAGGGCCUGACUCCUGCAGUGCUGUCCACAUCUGGCUUUUCUCUGCUCUGGUUAUGGCCUCUUCUAAACAUGCUCCUGGUGGCACAGUGAAGGCUGGGUGAUCUUUUCCUCCCUUCCCCUCCUGCUCAUUUCCAGAGUUCAGAAGAGAACCUCAUUCUCCUUGUGGCAAACUUUUCUUGGUGCACCCUCAUUCUUAAGCCCCUCAGGUGCCCCCUCCACCUGUCCUUAGAAACUGAGCUCCCUCCAAGCACACCUUAGCCAUUAUGGCAUGGAGUCCACCUACUUCCUGUCGAGAAGUAGAGAAGCUCUGGGGGCACAGUGGUGUCCACUCCUAGUCCCAAGUGUUAUUUGUAUGAAUGUGUUACUUUGCACACAGAAGGGUCUUUGCAAACGUCAUUAAGGUUACUGAUCAGUUGACUUUCAGUGAGGAGAUUGUGCUAAAUUAACCCAGUAGACGAAUUCUAAUCCCAGGGACCCUCUAAUGCAGAGAACUUUCUCUGAUUGGAUCAGAGGUGCAGAAGAGAAGAGUCAGAGAGAUCCUGAGUGUGCGGAGAGUUGAUGCAGUGCGGUUGGAUCUGCCAUGUGGAGCUCACAGGCAUGGACUGAUUUCUAAGGUGACCCUCAGCCAAGAGCCAGCAAAGAAGUAGGAUCUGCCUGCAGGGAACCCAGGUUGGCAAUAACACAAAUAGGCUUGAAGAGGGCCCUUCCGGAAGCCUCCAGGUCAGAGCCAGCUGACCCUUACCCUAAGUGCGGCUUUGAAGCCUGACUCAGAGACAGCAGAUACCCAGCUCACACCGAUGGCCAGAGCCGUGAUCUUGUGAGUGUGUGAUUUUAAACCGUGGAAUGAGUGUAACUUGUUACAGUGGCUGUAGAAAACAGACACAGGACCCUAGUGGCUGGGAACAGGUUCUGGGCCCCUCUCCUGGGGUCUUUGCUUGUUCCUGAGGAUCCUCACACAUCCAAGCACAGGUCCCACAGUGAACAGAUUCUCCCUUCCCCCUUCCCAUCUGCAGUCGACACUCAGUGGGUUUUACCCCUGCUCCCUGGACCUCAGUUCAGACCCCUGGGGUGUUUUAGCAGCUUCCUGUGGGUCUCCCAGCCCUGGGCCCCCUAUUUCCAGCUGCCCCCCACUAAUGCAGCUCUGCUCUCAGGACUCAUUCCUCCCCGACAGGCAUCCUGCGCUUUGCCUCUUCUCAGUGAAACAGGUAUAGGUCCAGCAGCCUAAAAUUCACAGCCUUUCGUAGGGAAGGGAGCAUGACAUCUCCGUCCUCACCUCCCAGGACUCUCUCUUGGGCAUUUGCAUUCUUGUUUUGUCCCCUGCAUUUUCUCAGCCCCAGGAUUCUUGGGAGUCCUGCAGGGAAGGAGUCCCCAACCCUGGGCCAUGGACUGGUACUGGUCCAUGGCGUGUUAGGAACCAGGCUGCGUAGCAGGAGGCAAGCAGCUGGAGAGGGAAGCUUCCCCUGUAUCUACAGCUGCUCCCGCCCCUUGCCUGAGCUCCGCCUCCCCCUCCUGUCAGAUCAGCAGGGCAUUAGGUUCUCCUAGGAGCUCAAACCCACCCUGAGCUGCACAUGCAAAGGGAUCUAGGUCGCGUGCUCCUUUGAAUUAUCCUGAAACACCCUGCCCCCACUUUGUGGAAAAAUUGUCUUCCACCAAACCAUCCCUGGUCCCAGAAAGUUUGGGGACCACUGCUGUAGGGCCCUGCCCGUGGGCCAUUGAGUCCCAGCAGGCUUCCAGGAAGCCGUAGAGCUGCCGCCCUUGAGAUGUGUGGUGCUGAAGCUCAGUGUCCCUGUCACACCCUAAGUGACCUGAGUAGGGCCUUCCACCAUCCCAGCUCGGUGUGUGCACAGUGCUUAGGAGUCCUGAGCAUACCUAUGCUCACACGCUGACUGGGGUACAUCCCACCGGAAGGAGAAAGGCAAGCUUAUCAUGUUAGGCACAGUGCCUGAAUCACUCAUUAAAUAGCUCUUAAAUGAGUAUUUCAUGAAUUCCUUUUGCUGUAUUUUGAAAUAGAUGCCCCAAGUACUGGAAAAGAUCCUCAGUAUUUUUAGCACACUUUUCCUGUUACAGUGUUUCUGGGUAUAGCGGCUGCUUAUGCUGAGUUUGAAGGUGGUCCAAACUUGGCAGGUGUGUUACUGUGUUUGACAGAGUAAGACUAUUGCAUUGCUGUCAGGAUAAUUGCUAACACAUAUCAAGCACCUGUGAUCUCCAUGAGUUAGGUCAGUUAACCCUUACAGCAGUGCUCUGACGCUGGAUUAUCCAUGUCUGAGUGUUAUGGAUGAGGAAUCCAGAGUGCAGAAAGGUGAAGUGAUCUACUCAAGGUUAUGCAGCUGGCUGAUAGCAGAGCUGAUUUCCUUCCCAGCCAGUCGCAGUUCCACUCCUUCUAUGGCUACCAUUUCGUCCUUUGAUCAGAGGCAGGAAAACCCCCCAUUCUCGAUCGAAAAUCAUCAUUAGCAUUAUUUCUACAGUUCAUCACUAAUCUGCAACACCUCACAUAUGCACCGGGCUUUGAAAGGCUUUGCUCUUUGUUCUCUUAGCAGAGGGCGGCGGGAGGCUGGUGGGUGGGGCAAGGGCGAUUCUGUGUCCUGCAUGUGUCCCGAGUAGAAGGACCACGUCCGGAGUCACAGCUGCACUGAGUCCCCGAUGCGGAGGACUGAGGCCCAUCUCAGGCGCGGAUGCCCCCAACCCUGCCCUCCAGGAACACAGCCCGCCCACCUGUGCCCUGGGCUGCUCCCACCCACGCCGGAGGGCUGGCCACGGAGCCCUCCUUGGAAGUGAGGCCUGGGCUGGGGACGAGGGCACAGCAUUUCCCUGCAAUCUUGAUCUUUGGCCUGUGGGUUUGUCCUUGGCGAGGGUCUGAGGGUCUGUCCUCAGUUGUGAUAAGAGGUCUCGUUUCUUUCUUCCCUCUGCUUUCCCCAAGCCAAGGAAACAUGGAAUCGGGAGGGGAAAAUGGCUCUCCCUGUUGCACCCAAGAACAGCCUGCUGGAGUCUGUGCUGAGGCUGCUGGUGGGAGGCCCGGCCUGUCCUCAGAGGCCACGUCUGCAGCGAGGUUCUGCAGACCGAGCCAGUGCACAGCCCGGGGCCUCCCGGCUGUCUGGGCCCUGGUGGCCCCACAGGCCUUCCCUGUCCCGAGUGCGCCUCCAGAACACACCGUGUCUUUGGCCCGGAACGGCCUCCCGCUGGGGAGCCUCGUGUCUCCCACUCCCUGUCUCGUCCACCUCCCAUCCUGUGUGACUUCAGUCAGGAUGCAGGGAAGUCCUUCCCUCAAGUGAAGACAGCCGUCCAGGUUUUCAGCCUGGGUGUUGACUUCCUCUCGAAUCCCCAGUGCUUGGACACAAGGUCAUGGACCGCACUAGAGGAGGUGAGAUGGGCUGUGCAUUAGACAGGGCUGACGUCAAGUUCAGGCUGGGCUCGGGCGGCUGGCUGUGUGGCCCUGGGCAAGCUCCUUCACCGUGAGGCUCCUUCGUCCCCGUUGGAAGCAGGAGGAAAUUGCCCCAGCAAGGCCUGAGGGACUAAAAGAAGGCAGAGGAGGGCCACCUUCCUAGAUGCCACCUCAUUAGAUGGUGGCCCGGCAGGGAGGGUUCAAGAAGCCAGAGUGAGGCGGUGGGAGGAGGAAACGAAGUGAUGUGACCAAGUUGUUUUGCACUGCAAAGGCACCAGUGCAAAUAGGCCACGAUCCCAGAUCCCAGAGCUCGGCCCUGAGUCCUGAGGCCGUGUGCAAGGUGAACCGGACUCCCGUCUUUGUGAGGUCAAGGCCAGUGGGCAGCACCCAUGAGGACAGGGGACCUGGCCAUGGGCUCAGAGUGCCGAAAGCAGCUGGAGUCCUCAGCUUAGUAAACACGGGGCGCCAUACUCUGGCUUCCCUGUGCCUUGUUUGUCACCUGAGGAAAGACCGUCAGCCUCUGCCUGGCUCUCAGGGUACUGUAGGGGUUAGAUGAGGUCGCGGGUGCACACAGCUACAGUAGUGCUUGGUGUGCAGAGUGUGCGGGGCAUUAGUUACUAUUGUCACUGACUGGCCCUCUCGGCCGGUUGUGUGUGCGUUUGUGGCUCUUUCCCCGUGGGAAUGCGAACACUUCGCAGCUUUGGCGUGAUGGCUUGUCUGGCUCCCUCCUCUGUUCUGGAACAAGAGCUCAGUGUGUUCUGAGAAACCUGCAGCAUCGCCCCAGGAGUUUAUCAACAGCAGGAACUCGGGGGCCUUCCCAGAGUCUCAGCGCCAGAUGCCAGUGCCGGGCCCUGUCUGUCUCGGCCCAGCAGCGCUGCGCAGCAUGUGGUGUUCACUACGUGCUGUGCGCCCUGUCUCCCCAGGGGAAGCAGGACAUUUGGGGCAGGAUGAGGGUGGAGUGGAUCAAUUAAGGUGGGGUCUUUGGCUGAACUUUACCCUGGGUUUAUGGAGCUUGGAAACACAAAAAAGGUUGCAUUCCUUUCUGUGGAACUGCUUAAUCCACACGCACUCUCCAGACAGGGCUGCUGCUUGGUGCCAGCGGCUUCUCCCAGCACUGCUUGCUUCCAUUCCAAAGUGGGGAAGGGAGAGCUUUAGAGGGCCAGGUGGGUACUUCCUGGGCCCUCGCACUUAGGCCAUUUGUACCUAAGAUGCAACAAAGAAUCCCCAGCCGGCUUGAAACUGUCUCAUGCUAGUGCUGGUGUUCAAGUGCUGCUUCUGUCGUGGCCAUGCCUAACAGCAGCCAGCCAGGGCUUGGUGCAGACUGGACAGUCUGAGCUCAGGCUAUAUGCCUAGCACACACAUGGCCUUGGGCUCAAUCCCCAGCACCACCCCCCCCCCAACAAAAACAGAAAACCCGAGUUCAAGUCCUGACUCAGAUGCUUAGCUCUGUUGCUUUUCUUCAGUAACGUAACAUCGUGGGCCCUCCCCUCUUCCAUCGGUAAAGCCAUGUGGUGAGGUGACAGAAAUGGCCCAGUGCUUCACUCAUUCUUGUAACUUGCACAGUGCCCAGUCACGUGAUUCAUUAGACUGCGCUGUUAGCAGACACCUUUGCAGCCGAGCUUGGAAAGUGUUUUGUUUCUACUGUUGAACCUUUUCCAUCAGCAAGAAAGGGGUAUUUCUGGGACAGCCCUUGGGCUCCAGCAGAGGGGUGAUUGUAUGUACAAUGUAACCAGGGUGCUGUGUCUGAUCUUGGACAAGUACACAGUGAGUCACGCCCUGGACCCCUGAGUGAGCCCAGCAGAGUUCAUCUAAGCUGACCACUCGGUGAGUGACACCUGAUACUUAUGCCACUGAGGUUUUGUUACACAGCAUUGUUUUGGUGAUUGAUACAGCAGGAAUGUCACUUAUAACUCUUGGAUGGCUUGAAUUCUGUAAGAGCAGGAUGGUACCCUGUGGACUGCCCAGUCCUUCAAAUCCGUGUUGACUGAGUGAUCUAAUAAAGAGAAGUUUGUAACCCUCUGCGGUUCUGUCUGGCAUAACACCGGUUCCCUCUGCUUACAGCAUCUCUGAUUGGGGUCACUGCUGUUUCCCAUCCACUUGGUAUCCAGCAAAGGCAGACAGAAAGACAGAAAGACAGAGGAAAUUGGAGACUGAGUAGCUAGGCUCUGGUUUUAUGCACAAAGCGAAGGCUCAGUAAGUCUUACUUGCUCCCCUGAAUACUUUGGGUCCCGAGUCCCAUGGCAAGCCUGGUAAUUCCUCAAGGGAAAGCGACUUGGAGCACAGCACAGUGAGCUGGACAGAGAGUGGUGCCUGUGUCGGGUGCUCGGUCUGUAGCAGGCACUUCUUGUCCGUCCAUUCUUGUUUGAUUCUGCAGAGAGGAAUUGAUCUGGAGGUAGAAACUCCGCUCAGAGACAGGAAGCGAGCAAGCAGAUGCACACCGCUGGCAAGGUAGCUGACGAACUCUGGAGUCCAGGGCUGCUCUGCAGCCAAGAAUAGCUUCUUUAAGCCCUUCCCUGCAGGCGGGGACCCUGGCCAGCAUCCAGGCCACACUCUGUGCAAGCCAAGCAGGGAUCCUGCCUGGUGGAGGUGACUGGCCAGCUCGAACUGCACAGUUGUCGGCGUGGCCAGGUUGCUGGACGCCUCCUUCAGUGCCGCUGGUGUGACUCGGACCUUGUGGGUGAGUGAGCCUCACCAAAGUGCCUGGAUCUGGUUUCCACGAGGGUCUGAAUGGCGUUGGCUCUCCAUCUGCAAGGGUGCGCUGUCCAUCCUGAGCCCUGGGUCCUCUCCGGCUGCCUUUCAGGGAUCCUGGCCGAGUCAGCAGGACCAUAGGGCCGGCUGGCGGCAGGGCAGUGUAUCCUGACCACCAUCCUGGGCUGAGGAGCGAAGCCCCAGUCCGGUCCCCUGUCCCUGGCCUGUCCUCCCCAGCCUGCCAGCUCCAAGGGCGGGAAUGGGGCCAGCGCCGGGAGCUUCUCGGGCUUCUGCUCCUGCUGGCACUGGCUGGGCAGGAGCUCUGCUUGGCUGGCUGCCCUGGGCACUUGCCACCCUUGUGUGUUUGCUUGGCCAUCGGGGUGAGGAAGCAGGAUGCUUUCCAUUGGACCCUGGGCGUUCCGGGCUUCAGGGGCCAGCGGCCAGCCAGGGCGGGAUCUGCCAUCCGUGCCUCCGUCUGUCCUCUUUGUCCCUCUCCCUCUCCUACCUGGCAGGCAGUUCAUAAUCCCGCCACCACCUGAUGCAGCGGGGGAGCAGGGGGAGGCCCACUGCUGUGCAGAGCAGGAACACUGGUGAGGGCCGCCCGAGAGCCUGCCUCAGGCACCUCCAGCCUCGGAGGGAGAGGGACUGUGGCACCCCGGCACCCUUCUCCCACGCCCAGCUGCACCAUUCCCAGACCAUCUGGGCCUCGUCCACAGCGUUUGUUUGAGUGGUGGUGAGACCUCUGGCACCACUCUGCCUGUCUUUGGUUAGAGCAGACAUAGGGAUGAUUUACAAUCACCCAGGAUCUCAGCAUGACUUCCUGUUAGGGUCAGGGAGAGACGCACUCCUGGGCCGUGCUACCUUGCUGAGACAGAGGCUGGCCAUGGAGAGAGCCACUGGUGCCCUGUGAGUGGCAUAUUCCCAGGAGCCCCAUGUUCUGGGUGGGGUAACUGAGGCCAGGAGCACUGGAGCCCUACACAGGGCCUUCCCGGUAGGGUAGGCAGAGAGCACACGGAAGGAAGCCGGGCUCCCCUCCCCCUCCCAAAGCAGCUUGCGUUCCCGCUGUCUGGCGCGGCGGGCAUUGUAGUACGCCUGGGCUUUGCUGAGGGUGCCUGCCCUCAGAGGGAACCUGGGGUGCCAGGGCUGUGGACACGGAGAGAAAGGCCUUUCUGGUCCUUGGCUCGGCUCGGCUCCUACGUUUUUCAGACAGGAAGGUCCCCAGGGCCAUGAUCGCCCCGCCCCACAGAGGACAGCAGAGCUGGGAGGUGAACGGGACACUGCCAUGCCUCUGGUUCACUGAGUGCCGAGGAGUGCAGGGACCGGGCUGAUCCAAGGCCUGCUCAACAGGGACAGAAGGGCCCGGCUGUGAAGGGCCUGGGCUGGCCUGGACAGGGCGCCUGGAGCUGCGGCUGGGCUGUUCCCUUCUCAGCCUCCCCUUCCCACAGGGAUGUGCUCAGCUUUCUCCCAGCCCCGCAGCCCACAGCCUCUGUCCCCACGAGGAGACCUCAUGCGGAACGCACUCUGAGGAGAGCCUGGACGGGCGGAGGGAAGGACCUGCCCUGAGUGCCUCCUCACUGUGCUGUCUGAAGCCGUGGGACCCACCAGCCGCCUGCCUCAGGGCCUCUCUGUAAGUAGGGAUGCCAGAGUACCCAGUUCCGGCCCUGCAGAGGGCAGCGUGGAAGCCUCCUCGAUGCCCACUGCGGAUGUGGUUGCUUGGUGGGGAGUCUGCACCCCGGGAUGCUCAGGAGCCAGCUGACCCCGCGCCCUGCUGGUGUGGUCCCCUGUCCCACUGCCUGUCUGCCUCUGUUCCCCAGCUACAGAGCCAGGGGAGGAAGGGAAUCUUCCUAUAAAAUUUGAGAAACUCAGAUAUGCAGAAGGAAACUGAAAGUACUUGUUAUUCGCCUGAUAGGUACAGCCAGGAGCACACAGGUGCACACAAAAUGUCCAGGCAUCCUAGAGUAGCCAGUGUCUAAGCUACAUAUAUUUGGUAUGUUUAUUACCAUUCAUAUACAUCUUAUCCACACAUAUAUAAUGCCUGUUGUAUACAUUUCAUUUCCUGUUGGACAUUCCUUAUACAGGAUGUGAAAAGUAAUAAAGAAUAGGCGCCAGUGGUCAUAGUAACCAGUUUUCACCACUUAACCUGAGGUGGACUUUUCUCCUCUUAGGAGAUUUUUCUGCAGGGAGCAUUUGCGGCACCCGGCAUAUCACCAUAUGGAUACACCGCACCCACCUUACAGAGGAGGGGUGGAAGCUCUGAGAAGCGACACACCUGGCCUCCCCAGAUCACCCAGCUCUCGGGGCACAGCUGACACCCAGGCCUUCUCCGUGGAGGUUUCUGUGGUUCCAGGGACAGAUUCAGCAGGAAUCUAAAUCCUUGGAUUACAAGCAAAACAAAACUUCCUGGCCAGACUGAUACCAGAUUGAAGGAAACAGCUGGCUUUCAUGGGGACAAGAAAACAGAAUCCAGCCAGAGUGAAGACCCGCGCCAGUCUGUUCUGCACCGGGCAGCUGCUGGGGAAGUGCUGGAUUCCGCUGUCCUACUGACCAGCCGUGUGACCUUAGCAACCUGCAGAGAAGUCCCAGCUUGCCUUGUGCGUUCCACAGUUCCUGGAGACAGUUCUACAUUUUGGCCUGAGCGUUGGCACCCAGCUGGAUCUUGAAGCAGAGCUUUCUCUUCCUCGUGAGCGGCCCCCAGGCUCUGCCUUUGGGGAGCAACAGCUCACCACCGCAAGUUCAUGAAUCUAAGAGGCAGACCUGGAAUCUGAAUCUUUUACCAGUUGUUUCAGGGAUGGGAACUUCGAUGGAAGCCCACUCACGUGGCUUCUGCUCGUGGUUGGCCUGUGGACGACUGUUUCCCAGCAGCACUGCUAUCCUUGGCUGGCAAGCUGCUGCUCUUCUCCCUCCCAGAGAGCUCUAGCUAAUACAGUCUACUCCGGUGAGCUGUGACCCCACGUUCUGUUUAGAUGUUCAGUCUUACUUUUCUUGCAAUGUCCUUGGGAAAGGCCGGGCCUCUUCCCCUCACCUGUUCCAGGCCAUCUGAGGCCAGCCAGACCACUCAGGCCCCUCCCUCAGCCAUCAGCUCCAGCUUCCGAGUGCUUUCUUAGCUCCCAGUACCUUCCCACCAGGACAGGCACCGGUGCCAUUUCUUGAGUGUCUGUCCUGUACACAUUCAGGGGAACAUAUGGUCAUCUUGAACCAGGAGAUGAUAAAUAACUUAAGAGGGGCACCCAGCCACAUUCUGACAACAGCUUCUACCACCUGGACAGCCUUUCAUUCCUACUGCACCAGAGACCAGAGACCGGAUAUGUACAUCGCAUUUUCAGAGCCGCAGGUCCUAAAGACCUCCCUGUCAACACAUGUGAACAAAGUCUUGCAGGAAAAUGUCAUCCCAUUUGAAAUGUGCAGCUUGUCCUUGCAUUACAGACAAGUGCCAGAGAGGCAGGGCCGCCCGGCACGGCCACAUGGGAAGGCCCAUAAAAAGCACGCACCCCGCGGCACAGCACGCAGAACCCAGUGCUGCUCACGGCCUUUCUCCGCUCCAUCUCUCAGUUCAUACACGUGUUUUCCUCCCUGCACUUUGGCACCCAUCAGGAUUCAAAUUCCAGUUUGUCAGCCCUUGUAGAAAGGGGUUCAGAUCCUGGCAUUAAGGCUCCGCCGUGGGUGUGCAGGGACCUGUCAUUGCAGAAUGGUCUCAGAGCCUUCAUUUAUCCUCGCAGCCAUCCUCUAGGGGCUGCCCAGAGGUGGCGAAGGAAAAUCAUUGCCUCGCUUUGAGUCCAGGCAGCAGGAGUCCUUCUGUUCAGUUGCUCAUUAGCUGAGUGCCUGUGAACAUAAUUUGAGGUGCAUUCCAGCCCUGGGAAGAGGCCACCCCUUUCUACUGAGCUGGUUGUCCCAUCUGCAGAUAUCCUGGGAAUCUACCCCAGCGCGAUCCUGUGUGCUCACAUUUACCUGAGCAGCCUCCUCAGGAAAUGAGCUCUCUCCUUCUCAGCUACUUUACCUCUCCAGUGGAUAACCAGGCUCCGGGUUGUGGUGGGUCCUUCUGAAGCAUGUAUGGAGUACGUUAGCAGCCUGGUCACGGGCAGCCAUGGCUGGGUCUUCAAGAAGUUGUGUUGGAAAUGUCGACUCUUCUUUCGAAUCGCAGUCGUGUCCUCCGUCCCAGAUGGAGUGUGAAUGGUGCUUUCUGGGCUAAAAGAUGGGCUCAGCUGAGGGGAUCAAACUUGGGACCUUGCACUUGCGAGGCAGGUGGCAGCACCACUGAGCCAAAUCCCUGGUCCACAUCUUCAUCAUUUUUACCUCUCACUCUCCUCUCGGACCUCCUUUCUCAUCCCAUGAAGAUAUAGACAUGGGCAAAGGCUUUCUGAACAGAACCUCAAUCGCAGAAGAAAUAACAAGAACAACAAAUGGGAUUAUAUCAAAUUUAAACAUUAUACAGCGAAAGAAACAGCCAACAGAGUAAAAAAACAACCUACAGAAUGGAAGACAAUUUUUUUUGCCAGCUACACCUUGGGCAGAAAAUUAAUGUCUAGAAUAUAUAAAAAACUGAAAAAAAAUUAGAGCACCCCCAAAAUAAAAAGCCCAAUCGAAAAAUAAGUAGUUGAAAUAAAUAGACACUUCUGAGAAGAAGUACAACUAGCCAAUAAGUACUUGAAAAAUGUCAGCAUCUUUGGCCACUACAGAAAUGUAAAUCAAAACAACACUAUGAUUCCAUCUUACUCAAGAAAGAAAGAGUCUCUUUCUACCAGAAAUUCUCCUUCAAGAAGAUCUGAGCACUUUUGGGCAGAUUUCAUGAGAGGAAGAUGGAGCAUUCUUGAACUUAGGGUCCCUAGGAAUCACAGUCAUGGUCACCCAAACAGGGCAACUGUGGUGUCUCAGUCCCAGCAGCCUACCACAGAUUAAAAUAACAGUCUGUGGAGUUUAUUUUGAGAAGCCCUAGGAGCUUGGCAUAAGCCUCCAUUGCUCGUGGCAGCAUAAACUGGUCUUUUGGAGUAACUUAUCAGGCGGUAUCAGAGCCUCCCUUGGACCUUGUAUCACUAUUUGAGAGCUUUUUAGAAGACCUACCCCAGAAAAAAGGAAAGUUGUGCACCAGAAACAUAUUCUUAGAGCUGGGCACAUUUAGGGAAGGAAGCGACCUCAGGGACACUUGGUACCUCUGCUCUCUCAUGUCCCAGGAAGCCAAAGCACCCUGGAGAAGAAGAGGAGGCGCAGGAGAGUGUGGCCGUCUGAUGUGCUGUCCCAAAGGGCCCGUCUCCGCCCCAUGAGUCCGUCCUGUGCACCAGGCCAGCCCUCCGGCAGAAUGUGAGGGUCGCACCUACUUGAGGUAGUUCUGCUCUUUCGUCUCCUCACCCUUCUGUUUUUUGUGACCCGCCUCCUGCAGUUAAAAAUUGCUCCUUGUCACAGAAGGAAAAGAAAAGAACUGUGAACCACUAUGUGGAUGUGGAGGAUGCCACAUGCCCCAGAGAAGGGACACGAGGGGCAGUGGGGAGCUGGGGUCCUGGCGUCGGGACACUGCACCCCAUCAGGGCUCCGUGGUGCAGCGUGAGAGCCCUUAGCAAGGGUGUGAGAAGGAGCCACAGGCGAGUGCUGUCAGGGGUGCUCUGCCCCAGAGGGCAGAUCUGCCACCUCCGGCUGCUUCCUAAUCUCCAUUCAUGGGGACACCCAGCGUGAGCCGCGCCUGUCAACUCCAUGGAGUCAUGGAAGGUCUAGAGUCCGGGCUUUCAGAAUCUCCUGGAAGAGACGGCUCCUCUUUCACCUGAGUUAAAUGGACCAGGGGGAGAAAACCACCACUCAGAGAUGCUGACUGACUCAGCAGAAGCCACACAGCGGGGAAGCAGCCAAGGUGGACUUCCACAUGUUAAGGCAGUCCCAGCCUGUGGCUCUGGGAGCCCUUGGGUAAGCGUGCUCCUCCUCCAGCGGAACAAACGCGCCCUGUGCUGCCAGCAGCUGGGUCACGUGGCCAGCAUCGUCUUUCUCUUCUCUUCCCCCCAUGCCUGAGAGUCUGAUCCUGGCUUUUCCUCUCCUGGAGAUUGUAGCACCUACACAAGAGGCAAAGGCAGCCGUCAUACAGACCCAGAGCGAAUUGGAUGCUCUUCCCCCAGCACUGUGCAGAUGCAGGAACUGGAGCGGAGAGCUCAGAAAAUCGCCACCGAUUUUUUCUGUGUACCCCUCCCUCCUUCCCAGCCCGUCUCCGUCCACAUCACACUUCUCCCCGGGGCUUCAGUCAUUGCUGAGCUAUCUUCAUUUAAUGUGGUUUUGACAAAACAGUUGGUCUGGAAAUUUUAUUUUCAAUUAAACUUACUUGUUGGACUGCCUAGGCUUUGAAAGCAUUCUAUUAGGAUGGCUAAUUAUAUGGCAGUUGCUGCAAGGAGAUAGAUACUUGCACUCAGUUUCAGCCCUUAGGUAAUUCAGAUCAAAUGCUUCGUACUUUUCCUCCCGGAGCUGUGUACAGCAUCUUCCUCUCACACUGCAGGCUUCCCAGGAGUUAUUUUUAGAAACCCAAAUCAAAACAGCAGUUUUGGUGGAGGCCGUUUGUAGCCUAGCAGAGUAAACCAUAUGUACUGAUAAAAACAGGCAAGCAGCUGAUGCCCUUCAAGAGCAACAAAACCACCUCCCUGUUGCGGGGUCAGAUGCCUGGGAACCCUGGGAACCGCAAGCUGUUCUUUGUGCUGUUCCUUGGAAGACUGAAGUCAGAGGCAGUGGGGCCGCCUUUAAAAUGACAAAGGACUCCCCGCCCCUCAGCGGAGCCCUGGGAGGACUUCCUGGGGCACUGUUCUGGCCUCGGGUCUCCAGUGGAGCAUGGAGGGCACUUUCUUGAUUUCCCUCCUCUGCUCUACUUUCUUGUUUGAGCGACACACACUAACAUGCCUCAUCCUGCUCACCCAGCGAGCCACCGCUGCCCAUGGUCAGACUGUAAGGUGGACAGGGGCUGUGCUUUUCACCCUGCAGUGGGCCAGCACAUCGUAGGCACUCAAACCUGUAGGGGAGUCAUUAAAAUUCUGUUUGCUUUCUCAUUUUUAUAAAUGUCAAUCUUUCGUUACACAAAUACUAAGAGAACGCAUCUGUCUUGGGGCAGAAAAAGAGCUUUCCCAAUAGGGCCAAACAUCCUGCAGUUCUCCGUCUCCAGUGCUGGGCUCUUCAUUGUCUCUGUGUAACAUUUGUCAUCGCUUUGGAACACGUCUUUGCAGAUCUUUCUAAUUCAUUUGUGCACGUGUACGCAGACACAGGCACAGUCUAUAGACCUGUGAUAAAGAGUAUUACCCAGCCUAUGUAGUCUCUCCCAGGGGUGCAGUCCGCAUCACCCACCUCUUUCCUUUGAACUGCUACCCAGCUGUAGUGCAUCGAGUGGUUACACCACCUUUGACUUGAACCAAGUGAGUUCUUUAUCUGCUUUCCGCAUUGGACCUCUGGAUCCAUUCUCACAUGUCGGCUGACCGGCUAGCCAUGUCCACUGCCAUCUAGGUAGCUACAUCACAUCCUGUCAAAAUCAGCCACUUGCCUGGGAGGUUCUGCCAACCCAGUAGACAGAGUACGUGAAAUUCUAAGGGUUGCCAGUGAGACCGAAAUUCCUUUGUUUUCAACCUAGGGAACAGCGCGGUGCCCCAGUGAGUUCCCCAGCAGUAGAGAGUGGUGUUGGAUCCAUGCUUGGGGCUCUUUUCACAGCCAGAGGGUUUCCUGGAUGGGUCCUGCCCUCGCCUGGACCUCACCUUCCGCAUUUGCCCAGUGGACGUGGGGAACCUCUUCCUGCUGUUUGGCUGUGAAUAACAGGCCUUUCUUGGUGCUGCCAGGACUGCCCCUGAGUGCUGCUGGACUCCCCCCUGCCAGGUGUUGGCUGGGGAAGGGGCUCCCAGCACAGCCCAACCUGGAGCUCUUGGCAGAGACCAUGUCCGGAAGACCCGGGACGCCACCUCUGGACUGUACUCUUCUUUCCUAUUGCUCUGUCAUUCAAUUAAAAUUAAUAUUACGAUUU